rnacentral:rRNA from 1 species
CAGAGGGGGCGAGCGUUGUUCGGAAUUACUGGGCGUAAAGGGCGCGUAGGCGGCCCGCUAAGUCGAACGUGAAAUCCCCAGGCUCAACCUGGGAACUGCGUCCGAUACUGGCAGGCUUGAAUCCGGGAGAGGGAUGUGGAAUUCCAGGUGUAGCGGUGAAAUGCGUAGAUAUCUGGAGGAACACCGGUGGCGAAGGCGGCAUCCUGGACCGGUAUUGACGCUGAGGCGCGAAAGCUAGGGGAGCAAACGGG